GACAGAGGAGCCAAGCGUUGUCCGGACUGACUGGGCGUAAAGCGCCCGCAGGCGGCCGUGCACGUGGGGUGUGAAAGCGCUCGGCUUAACUGAGCGAGGCCAUCCCAUACGGCGCGGCUCGAGCCGUCCAGAGGCCGGUGGAAUUGCCGGUGUAGUGGUGAAAUGCGUAGAUAUCGGAAGGAACAUCAGUGGCGAAAGCGGCGCACUGGACCAUAACUGACGCUGAGGCGCGAAAGCUAGGGGAGCAAACAGG
rnacentral:rRNA from 1 species